CGGUGCGACAUGUGAAAAAAACACACCCCUGUUUUAGUUACAAAGUGCCGUAACUUAAAAAGUUUAAAUCUUAUUUUCACCAAAAAGUAUACAGAUCAUUUGACCAUCAUAAGAAACAACUAUGUUAAGUUUCAUGAAAUUUGGAUAAGUCGUUCUCAAGUUACGGUGCGACAUGUUUACGCCGGACAGACAGGCGGACAGACUAACAGACGGACAGACGGACAGACAGACGGACGGACGGACACAGGACAUUUGUAUACCAUAAUACGUCCCGUCAAAAUUUUGACGGGCGUAUAAAAACGC
rnacentral:lncRNA from 1 species